UACGGGGGGGGCAAGCGUUGUUCGGAAUUACUGGGCGUAAAGGGCGCGUAGGCGGCCAGACCAAGUCGAGUGUGAAAUUGCAGGGCUUAACUUUGCAGGGUCGCUCGAUACUGGUCGGCUAGAGUGUGGAAGAGGGUGCUGGAAUUCCCGGUGUAGCGGUGAAAUGCGUAGAUAUCAGGAGGAACACCGGUGGCGAAGGCGGGUCUCUGGGCCGAUACUGACGCUGAGGAGCGAAAGCGUGGGGAGCGAACAGG
rnacentral:rRNA from 1 species